GAUCCUGGCUCAGGACGAACGCUGGCGGCGUGCUUAACACAUGCAAGUCGAACGAGAAUCUACGGAUCGAGGAUUCGUCCAAGUGAAGUAGAGGACAGUGGCGGACGGGUGAGUAACGCGUGAGGAACCUGCCUUUCAGAGGGGGACAAAAGUUGGAAACGACUGCUAAUACCGCACGACACAUUGGGGUCGCAUGGCCCUGAUGUCAAAGAUUUAUCGCUGAAAGAUGG
rnacentral:rRNA from 1 species